UACGUAGGGGGCAAGCGUUGUCCGGAAUCAUUGGGCGUAAAGCGCGUGUAGGCGGCCCGAUAAGUCCGCUGUGAAAGUCCAGGGCUCAACCCUGGAAUGCCGGUGGAUACUGUCGGGCUAGAGUCCGGAAGAGGCGAGUGGAAUUCCUGGUGUAGCGGUGAAAUGCGCAGAUAUCAGGAGGAACACCAAUGGCGAAAGCGCUUUACUGGGCCGUAACUGACGCUGAGGGACGAAAGCCAGGGUAGCGAAAGGG
rnacentral:rRNA from 1 species